rnacentral:lncRNA from 1 species
UAACGUAAAUAAUUAUGUAAACAUAAGAAACAUAAAUACAGUCGCAUGCAAUAAUAACAAGCAGAAACUACCAUACUAACAGCCAUAAGGGGACAUAAGGUAAAACACUAAUCAUCUAUCAGUGACCCUACUAUCCCACACCCAACCCCGGAAGAGGCGUACGAAGAACUCUAUGAGCCCCUAGCCUACAACCCUGAUUCUAGACCUCCAA